rnacentral:rRNA from 1 species
GAGUUUGAUCAUGGCUCAGGAUGAACGCUAGCGGCAGGCUUAAUACAUGCAAGUCGAGGGGCAGCGCAGUGUAGCAAUACAUGGGCGGCGACCGGCAAACGGGUGCGGAACACGUACGCAACCUUCCUUUAACUGGAGAAUAGCCCCCUCGAAAGAGGGAUUAAUACUCCGUAAUAUCCCGAUAUGGCAUCAUAACGGGAUUAUAGCUCUCGGGCGGUUGAAGAUGGGCGUGCGCCUGAUUAGAUAGUUGGCGGGGUAACGCCCACCAAGUCUGCGAUCAGUAACUGGUGUGAGAGCACGACCAGUCACACGGGCACUGAGACACGGGCCCAUCCUACGGGAGGCAGCAGUAAGGAUAUUGGCAAUGGACGCAAGUCUGAACCAGCCAUGCCGCGUGGAGGAUU